rnacentral:rRNA from 1 species
GCACAAGCGGUGGAUGAUGUGGAUUAAUUCGAUGCAACGCGAAAACCUUACCUACCCUUGACAUGUCCGGAAUCCCGAAGAGAUUUGGGAGUGCUCGCAAGAGAACCGGAACACAGGUGCUGCAUGGCUGUCGUCAGCUCGUGUCGUGAGAUGUUGGGUUAAGUCCCGCAACGAGCGCAACCCUUGUCAUUAGUUGCCAUCAUUUGGUUGGGCACUCUAAUGAGACUGCCGGUGACAAACCGGAGGAAGGUGGGGAUGACGUCAAGUCCUCAUGGCCCUUAUGGGUAGGGCUUCACACGUCAUACAAUGGUCGGUACAGAGGGUUGCCAACCCGCGAGGGGGAGCUAAUCCCACAAAGCCGAUCGUAGUCCGGAUCGCAGUCUGCAACUCGACUGCGUGAAGUCGGAAUCGCUAGUAAUCGCGGAUCAGCAUGUCGCGGUGAAUACGUUCCCGGGUCUU